GGCUCCUACGGGGGGCAGCAGUGAGGAAUAUUGGUCAAUGGGCGAGAGCCUGAACCAGCCAAGUCGCGUGAAGGAUGACGGCCCUAUGGGUUGUAAACUUCUUUUGUCAGGGAGCAAUUGGGUCCACGCGUGGGCUUAGCGAGAGUACCUGAAGAAAAAGCAUCGGCUAACUCCGUGCCAGCAGCCGCGGUAAUACGGAGGAUGCGAGCGUUAUCCGGAUUUAUUGGGUUUAAAGGGUGCGUAGGCGGAAUAUCAAGUCAGCGGUAAAAAUUCGGGGCUCAACCCCGUCGUGCCGUUGAAACGGA
rnacentral:rRNA from 1 species